rnacentral:misc_RNA from 1 species
GCCUGUUCGAGCGUCAUUAUAACCCUCAAGCCUAGCUUGGUAUUGGGGUCGCUGUACAGCGGCCCCUAAAAUCAGUGGCGGUGCCUGUAGGUUCUACGCGUAGUAAUUUUUCUCGCUAUGGAUCCCUAUAAGUGCUUGCCAACAACCCCAAAUUUUUUCAGGUUGACCUCGGAUCAGGUAGGGAUACCCGCUGAACUUAA